rnacentral:rRNA from 1 species
UAAUACGAAGGGCCCAAGCGUUAAUCGGAAUCACUGGGCUUAAAGAGUACGUAGGCGGACCAGUAGGUGCUUUGUGAAAUCCCUCGGCUCAACCGAGGAACUGCAGGGCAAACCAUUGGUCUAGAGACAGGUAGGGGUCGUCGGAACGCUAGGUGGAGUGGUGAUAUGCGUUGAUAUCUAGCGGAACGCCGAAGGAGAAGUCAGGCGACUGGGCCUGUUCUGACGCUGAGGUACGAAAGCGUGGGGAGCGAACGGGAUUAGAUACCCCGGUAGUCCACGCCGUAAACGAUGCGCACUAGGUUGGAGAGGUUCCGACACCAUUUCCGGCCGAAGCAAAAGUGUUAAGUGCGCCGCCUGGGGAGUACGGUCGCAAGGCUA